GACGUAGGGCGCGAGCGUUGUCCGGAUUUAUUGGGCGUAAAGAGCUCGUAGGCGGCUUGUUGCGUCGGCUGUGAAAACCCGCGGCUUAACCGCGGGCCUGCAGCCGAUACGGGCAGGCUAGAGUUCGGUAGGGGAGACUGGAAUUCCUGGUGUAGCGGUGAAAUGCGCAGAUAUCAAGAGGAACACCUGAGGUGAAGACGGGUUGCUGGGCCGACACUGACGCUGAGUGCGCGAAAGCCAGGGGAGCAAACGGG
rnacentral:rRNA from 1 species